rnacentral:rRNA from 1 species
CUGCCCUUAACUUCGGGAUAAGCCUGGGAAACCGGGUCUAAUACCGGAUACGACGGACCGCCGCAUGGUGGUCCGUGGAAAGCUUUAUGCGGUUUUGGAUGGACUCGCGGCCUAUCAGCUAGUUGGUUGGGGUAACGGCCCACCAAGGCGACGACGGGUAGCCGGCCUGAGAGGGUGACCGGCCACACUGGGACUGAGACACGGCCCAGACUCCUACGGGAGGCAGCAGUGGGGAAUAUUGCACAAUGGGCGAAAGCCUGAUGCAGCGACGCCGCGUGAGGGACGAAGGCCUUCGGGUUGUAAACCUCUUUCAGCAGGGAAGAAGCGAAAGUGACGGUACCUGCAGAAGAAGCGCCGGCUAACUACGUGCCAGCAGCCGCGGUAAUACGUAGGGCGCAAGCGUUAUCCGGAAUUAUUGGGCGUAAAGAGCUCGUAGGCGGUUUGUCGCGUCUGCUGUGAAAGCCCGGGGCUCAACCCCGGGUCUGCAGUGGGUACGGGCAGACUAGAGUGCAGUAGGGGAGACUGGAAUU